rnacentral:rRNA from 1 species
UGGGGAAUUUUGGACAAUGGGGGAAACCCUGAUCCAGCCAUCCCGCGUGUGCGAUGAAGGCCUUCGGGUUGUAAAGCACUUUUGGCAGGAAAGAAACGUCGCGGGUUAAUACCCCGCGAAACUGACGGUACCUGCAGAAUAAGCACCGGCUAACUACGUGCCAGCAGCCGCGGUAAUACGUAGGGUGCAAGCGUUAAUCGGAAUUACUGGGCGUAAAGCGUGCGCAGGCGGUUCGGAAAGAAAGAUGUGAAAUCCCAGAGCUUAACUUUGGAACUGCAUUUUUAACUACCGGGCUAGAGUGUGUCAGAGGGAGGUGGAAUUCCGCGUGUAGCAGUGAAAUGCGUAGAUAUGCGGAGGAACACCGAUGGCGAAGGCAGCCUCCUGGGAUAACACUGACGCUCAUGCACGAAAGCGUGGGGAGCAAACAGGAUUAGAUACCCUGGUAGUCCACGCCCUAAACGAUGUCAACUAGCUGUUGGGGCCUUCGGGCCUUGGUAGCGCAGCUAACGCGUGAAGUUGACCGCCUGGGGAGUACGGUCGCAAGAUUAAAACUCAAAUGAAUUGACGGGGGUCGA